rnacentral:rRNA from 1 species
AGGACGAACGCUGGCGGCGUGGAUUAGGCAUGCAAGUUGAGCGACGGAUAGCCUUCGGGCUAUUACGGAACAGCGAACGGGUGAGUAACACGUGAACAAUCUGUCCCUUCAUUCCGGAUAAUUGGGAGAAAUCCCUUGUAAUACGGGCGAGGGUCCCUGGUGUGCAUGCACAUGGGGAAGAGGCGCAAGCCGUGCAGGGAGGAGUUCGCGGCCUAUCAGUUAGUUGGUGGGGUAACGGCCUACCAAGACUACGACGGGUAGCUGGU